CAGUAGCCGCGGUAAUACGAAGGGUGCAAGCGUUAAUCGGGAUUACUGGGCGUAAAGCGUGCGUAGGCGGUUUGUUAAGUCUGUUGUGAAAUCCCCGGGCUCAACCUGGGAAUGGCAAUGGAUACUGGCAAGCUAGAGUGUGUCAGAGGAUGGUGGAAUUCCCGGUGUAGCGGUGAAAUGCGUAGAGAUCGGGAGGAACAUCAGUGGCGAAGGCGGCCAUCUGGGACAACACUGACGCUGAGGCACGAAAGCGUGGGGAGCAAACAGGAUUAGAUACCCCGGUAGUCCCUGUCUCUUAUAC
rnacentral:rRNA from 1 species